GACGAACGCUGGCGGCGUGCUUAACACAUGCAAGUCGAACGGAAAGGCCUGCUUUCCCUUGUGGAUUGCGGGUACUCGAGUGGCGAACGGGUGAGUAACACGUGAGUGAUCUGCCCCCAACUUGGGUAUAAGCCUGGGAAACUGGGUCUAAUUCCCGAUAGGACUGCAGGGUGGUGCCUGUGGUGGAAAACGAUUUUCUAGUGGUUGGGGAUGAGCUCGCGGCCUAUCAGCUUGUUGGUGGGGUAAUGGCCUACCAAGGCGGCGACGGGUAGCCGGCCUGGGAGAGUGGCAGGGCACAUUGGGACUGGGCCACGGCCCAGAGGCCGGCGGGAGGCAGCAGUGGGGAAUAUUGCGCGAUGGGCGGAAGCCUGAAGCAGCGACGUCGGGUGGGGGAUGUCGGCCUUCGGGUUGUAAACUCCUUUCGACCGGGAGAGAGCCACCUGGUUGGAAGGGUGGUGAGGGUAGUGGUAGAAGAAGCACCGGCUAACUACGU
rnacentral:rRNA from 1 species